AGGACGAACGCUGGCGGCGUGCUUAACACAUGCAAGUCGAGCGGAAAGGCCCUUCGGGGUACUCGAGCGGCGAACGGGUGAGUAACACGUGAGCAACCUGCCCUUAGCUCUGGGAUAGCUCCGGGAAACCGGAAUUAAUACCGGAUAUGACCUAGGCCGACAUCGGCCGUGGUGGAAAGUUUUUCGGCUAGGGAUGGACUCGCGGCCUAUCAGCUAGUUGGUGGGGUAAUGGCCUACCAAGGCGACGACGGGUAGCCGGCCUGAGAGGGCGACCGGCCGACACUGGGACUGAGACACGGCCCAGACUCCUACGGGAGGCAGCAGUGGGGAAUCUUGCGCAAUGGGCGAAAGCCUGACGCAGCGACGCCGCGUGGGGGAUGAAGGCCUUCGGGUUGUAAACCCCUUUCAGCAGGGACGAAGCGAAAGUGACGGUACCUGCAGAAGAAGCGCCGGCUAACUACGCGCCAGCAGCCGC
rnacentral:rRNA from 1 species